rnacentral:lncRNA from 1 species
AUGCCCGGUCCCUUUGUCCCGGGGGCGACGCGGGCGGCGAACAAGCCGCGUCGUCCCCGCCCUUCUCCUCCCCUCCCCAGCCUCGCCGCCGCCCGAGCCGCCGCCGGCAAAGCCGGGCGGCUGCAAGGAUGGCGGCGGCGGGACUCUCUCUCCCUCGCUCGCGGCCAAGACGGUCGGGACAUCGGCACGGCACGAGCUCAGGGCAUGGCGUUGGCGCCGACCGGCGGCGUCCAGAUCCGGUGCCGUGGUGCCCGGAUCCGGUCCCCCAACGACGGGCGGCGGCGUCCUGGCAGCUCGGCGGCGAGGUUUGGCGGUGGCGGCGGCGACCUGACGGGAGACGCUGCUGGAGCUGCCUCCGGUAGCCGAGCACGGCGGCGCGGCCAGACGACGGAUGCGGCGGUGGAGGUGCUGCGAGAGCCAGUGCGGUGGCUACUGCUGCCGACGACGGCAGUGACGACGGCGGCGGCUGUGGCGUCAUCGACUGCGGCGGCGGGCUGGCGAGGUAGCGGCCGUGGUGGUCGAGGCGUCGUGCGGCCUCGUAGGUGGCGAGGCCUGCCGUGCAGGCGUCGUGGAGGCCGGCGACGUGUGGCUAUUGGAGGCCAACGUCGUGCGGUAGCGGGAGGGCGUCAUGGAGACCGACGACAUGGAGCUCGUGGGCAGCGACAGCAGGUGCUGGUGGCUGCAGGCUGCGACAGCGGACGGCUUGCGGCGAUGGCCGUGGCGACCGUGGACGUGGCUGCCGUGGCGGAGGAGGUGAGGAUGGUGAUGGAGAGGUGGCUGGGCGUUCGGCAGCAGCGGCUACGGUGGCGGUGACCACGGUCAC